rnacentral:tRNA from 1 species
GCGCUUCUGAUUGGGAUGCUGACUACGGAUCAGAAGGUUAGGGGUUCGAGUCCCUUCGGGCGCACAA